rnacentral:rRNA from 1 species
AGUGAACGCUGGCGGUAGGCCUAACACAUGCAAGUCGAACGGCAGCACAGUAAGAGCUUGCUCUUACGGGUGGCGAGUGGCGGACGGGUGAGGAAUACAUCGGAAUCUACUUUUUCGUGGGGGAUAACGUAGGGACACUUACGCUAAUACCGCAUACGACCUACGGGUGAAAGCAGGGGAUCUUCGGCCCUUGCGCGAUUGAAUGAGCCGAGGUCGGAUUAGCUAGUUGGCGGGGUAAAGGCCCACCAAGGCGACGAUCCGUAGCUGGUCUGAGAGGAUGAUCAGCCACACUGGAACUGAGACACGGUCCAGACUCCUACGGGAGGCAGCAGUGGGGAAUAUUGGACAAUGGGCGCAAGCCUGAUCCAGCCAUACCGCGUGUGUGAAGAAGGCCUUCGGGUUGUAAAGCCCUUUUGUUGGGAAAGAAAAGCAGCAGGUUAAUACCCCGCUGUUCUGACGGUACCCAAAGAAUAAGCACCGGCUAACUUCGUG